ACACACACACACACACACACACACAGUGCAAAAUCACUUCUAUCCUACUGGUUCCUGAACACUUAAUUUGUGCCUCUCUAAAACAUAAGGAUUUAAAGACAUAGGCUGACUAGUUUCUUGCUGUUUCAAACCUGAGAUAUCAAACAGAAGGAGGAAAAAAAAAAAAAAAAACGAAAAAAAACCCAGCUAGUCUGUCUUCAAAGAGUUCCGAAAUUCCAUGAGCACUCUCACAAAACCUGAGGUCCACGUUCCCUGCUACUAAGGAUGGUCUACACGCCCCAGUGACGAUGAGUUUGCCUGUAAAAACAUGGAAGAGAUUCGUGAAGGUUCGGUGCAUUCCAACAUGGUGCUCUUGGGAUGGGAAGGCCUUUCCUGGCAGCAUUCCAUGAUUAGAAGUCUGCAGCGUUCAAGACCUCAGAAGAUACCCAGUCCUCAGAAGGAACCUCAGUGUGAGACACUGUCCAGGCCGGUGGCAAGG